rnacentral:rRNA from 1 species
UACGUAGGGUGCAAGCGUUGCCCGGAUUUAUUGGGCGUAAAGGGCGCGUAGGCGGCCGAGCAAGUCAUGCGUGAAAUCUCCCGGCUCAACUGGGAGGGGUCGUGUGAUACUGCUUGGCUCGAGCAAGGUAGGGGGCAGUGGAAUUCCCGGUGUAGUGGUGGAAUGCGUAGAGAUGUGGAGGAACACCAGUGGCGAAGGCGACUUUCUGGGCGUGUAACUGACGCUGAGGCGCGAAAGCGUGGGGAGCAAACAGG